rnacentral:misc_RNA from 1 species
AAUUAUCAACCUUGCUCGCUUUUACCGGCUUGAGUUAGGCUUGGAUGUGAGGGCUUUGCUGGCUUCCUUCAGUGGAUGGUCUGCUCCCUUUAAAUGCAUUAGUGGGAUCUCUUGUGGACCGUCACUUGGUGUGAUAAUUAUCUAUGCCAUCUUGACUUUGAAGCAAAACUUAUGGGAACCCGCUCAUAACCGUCUUCGGACAAUCUUUGACA